UAAUCCAUCAUUUGUUUGUUGUUUGUUGUAAUAAUCCAUAUUUGUUUCCUUCCCUCUUUCUGGGAUCAGAUAGAAAUGCUCAGAAGACAAAUGACUCUCCCGCUAUUAAUCUCUAAGGUUUAAUGUCCUCCUUGCAGAAGUAGAUAAGACGACUGCGUUUGGGGGAGUAAUUAAUGGAACAACAGUAACGAUAAGCUCAUCCUCUUCGGGCUCAAUUGGAAACCUCUCCAAGACCGCUCCAGCAGCCGACCGAAUGACAGAGAUAACGGAGAGCUUGACCUGGUCCACGUGGCUUUCAUUUCUCCUCCCGACCUCCAGAUUUUGAAAGCGUUUCCUUCCAAGUGACUUGAAGGGUUGAGUCGGACAUGAAUGUAAAAUAUUGUUCUUCAGGGCGGUGUGUGGAUUAUUGUCAUCAUUCUGCAAAGCCCCAAGUUGUUGGGGAAUGUAAUCAGGAUCAGCUGGGAGUGGGGAAGAGACCCUCCAGUUCGGUGGAAUUGGUUUGUUUGAACUUUAAGUAAAAAAAGCUCCCAAAGCACUUAGAAGUCAGCAUCACGAUGCACAAGAAAGUGUUCCUGCCCUCGGCAUCGGUAUCAGCCCUGCCUCUGCCUCUCACUCCUUGUAUGACCUUUGGCCAGUCCCUCUUCUGUGCCCUAAACUGUACAAUGAAAAGCCUGGACAAGAUGAUCGCUGCCAUUGUUCCAGCUCUCAGAUCUACCUAAGCUCUAACCCUAUCCCCUUCCCAUGAUGACUCCAGCUCCCAUGGGAGCUUAUCAAUAUCUUUUUUUUUUCUUUUAGAGAAUUUUUAAAUUUUUUAUUUAUUUAUUUGUUACAUUGAAAUAUUCCGUUAACUCCCCCCCUCCCUUCCUUCCCUCCUCCAUUAGAGAAGAUAUUUGUAGAUAUAAAAUCAUGCCUUCCUUAUUGCUAUUUAUCAGCUCUCUCUCUGGAGGUGGAUGUAUGCAAGUCAUUCUUCAAACAGCAUUUCUGUUGCUGUAUGGAAUGUUCUCUUGGUUCUGCUCAUUCAGAUAUCACAUAUAUGUGGUUAACUGUCGGGCUUUUGGUUGUAAAAUGCCUGCAGAAUCCUCUAUUUUCCUGAGAUUCAGGGUGUGCACCAGCUGGUGGGAAUGGCCUCCAUCUUGGACAGUCCAGGAAUGUCAUUGUUUCAAACCCAAGAGGAUGGUUCUUUGGCUUCCCUCUGAUCCUUAGUGGUUGCCUCAGUGAAAUGGGAUGACAACACCCUCCUGCCCUACCUCUCGGGCUCUCGUGAGUGAUGGAGGCUACGGAAUCUGUAUCACGGUAUCUAACAUGAGCUGUAGAGAAGAAUAGAACUUUUCCC
rnacentral:lncRNA from 1 species